UAGGAAAUUGUUUUGAGAAAUCCUGAGAUCUGCGAACUUAAAGCUCUGAUUAGUUGUUGGAACAUCUUUAAUAGACUGUGUAGAGCACCUAUUUGGUGGUGAAGAGUGGAUACUAUCUUACAGUGCUGUUUUCUAAAAGAAGAGCCGAAUAAUUAUGUUGGUGGCAUUGAUGAUGAAUAUAAUGAUAGUACUGAAUACUGUCUUAGUGUCUUUGAAUGUAAUUGCAAAAUAAUGUAGAAUUCUGCCAACUGGAAUGUGCAUGGACGUCAGUGGGAUCAUUAAUGUGCUUUCUGAUUUGCUAUUUCCAAAACAGCUUAGACCUUAAGUGGUAUAAUUAUUCUUCAUCAUGCAGUGUUAAGAAUAUCCAAAUGAAAAAUG
rnacentral:misc_RNA from 1 species